rnacentral:rRNA from 1 species
UGGGGAAUAUUGCACAAUGGGCGCACGCCUGAUGCAGCCAUGCCGCGUGUAUGAAGAAGGCCUUCGGGUUGUAAAGUACUUUCAGUCGGGAGGAAGGUGUCAAGGUUAAUAACCUUGGCAAUUGACGUUACCGACAGAAGAAGCACCGGCUAACUCCGUGCCAGCAGCCGCGGUAAUACGGAGGGUGCAAGCGUUAAUCGGAAUUACUGGGCGUAAAGCGCACGCAGGCGGUUGAUUGAGUCAGAUGUGAAAUCCCCGGGCUUAACCCGGGAAUUGCAUCUGAUACUGGUCAGCUAGAGUCUUGUAGAGGGGGGUAGAAUUCCAUGUGUAGCGGGGAAAUGCGUAGAGAUGUGGAGGAAUACCGGUGGCGAAGGCGGCCCCCUGGAGAAAGACUGACGCUCAGGUGCGAAAGCGUGGGGAGCAAACAGG